rnacentral:tRNA from 1 species
UCGGGACUCGUCUAACGGUAGGACGCAAGAUUCUGGCUCUUGUAAUCGGGGUUCGAUUCCCUGGUCCCGAACCA